rnacentral:lncRNA from 1 species
GCGGCGGCCGCGGCCGCGGCCUGGCUCCCCUGCAGGCCUGCGCGUGGCACCGGGGACGCCGGCCCGCCGUGUAGCCGGACGACCGUGCUCGCUCGCCGCGGACGGCCGGGGAGCUCCCGAGCCUACGGGCAGCGUCGAAGCGCGUCUUCGGCGGCAACCCCGCCUCGCCCGGUGACGUGCAGUGUAAACCCCAGGUUCCACGCGGCUUGCGGGGUGCAUGCUCCGCAGAUGCGGGCUCGGGAGGGAGCUCGGCCCGCGUGUCUUCAGGGACACCGCCCCACAUCUGGAAGCAGGCAGCGUCCCGGGCUUCAGCAAGUGGAGGUGCACAGACUGUCCACGGGCUAGCCGUGCUCCCGCGGCCUGGCUUCUCUUUCCCUCCCAAGUCCCCAAAGCGCUCCCAGACAUGCGGCGUCUGUGCCAGGGCACCCGGUUUGUGCAGCAAGGCAGAGCUUUUAACCCUUGGAAGGCAUGGAUUCUGGAGCCUGGUGCCAGUUUACAACUCUCAGAAGAACCUAUAACCAUACCAAGAGAAUGCCUUUUUUUUUUUUUUUUUCAGAAUCAGUGUUUGCUGAGGACCUUGUUGAACAAACAACUAGUAAAAAUCCUUCCACAAACAAACCUGUGCACAUUUGUGAGGACAAUUUGUGAGGCCUGGAGUCCUUUCCAGAAUCACGUGAAUAACCCUAAAACCAACUGUUUUACUUCCUCCACUGUGUAUCUGUGUAGCAAUCAAAUCAACUAGACUCCAGGCUCCCAGGUGGCUUUGUGCACUCAGGCUAGACCUUCAGUUGCAAGAGGUAAUGACACAGAAAGGAGGUAUGGAGACUUUCACAGCUAACAGAACUCUUCCAGAGAACAGAGUGUAGAAUCAGAGGGCCCACUCACUGUCCAGUCAUCAAGAUGUCAGGCUGGCAAGAGGCAUAAGGAAGUCUUGCUUUGGGUAAUCUGGAUUUAAGAACAAACGGAGUACAGGAUGAUCUGAGCAGAGAUACACACCGUGGGACAUCACGGUGUAUGAAAACCUGGCUUUUGAGUUCAGAUGGUCACCUGGUCAAGAUCAUCUGACACUUACUUCAGGGCUUGAUUUUUCUUCACUGGAGAGAAAUCUAUUUCAGAAUCAUUAAGGCCUGAAGUUGCCAACCAGGGAUGACUGUCCCUCUAAGAAACACUUAGCGGUUCGAAGACUUUCUCUUUGUUCCAGGCAGGGUGGCCACGGGAAUGCAGCAGGUAGAAUUCAGAGAUGAUAAAAAUACCCUAAAUGUCUAGACUGCCCUCUUUCUACUGAGAACUAUCCAGCCUCGGGUGAAAGUGUGGAGGAAAGAAACCUCAACCCCCAAAUGGUUUGUAUUUGAUUAAGUUCAUUUUAGGAAGAAAUUGGGCCUAAAUUCCAAUUAUUUUCAAUAGCUGACAAAAUUAGCCAUUUGGUAAAUGGAAUUAGCCUAAAGGGUUUAUCAAUGUCCACUCCUACCUUCAAUUUUUCCAGACCCAAGAAGUAAGUGAUUUUCAGGAAAAUUGGUGAAACACAUGGAUCAUAUUUUCUUAAGUUUUAUUUUGAAGUAUAAAACAAUUAAGGCCAGAUGGGUUUUGGUUGAAAAUCACUAAUAAAUACUUCAAGUCCGCAACUUUGCUGUAACUCAGAAAAAUGUCACUAAUAACAGCUACACACCAAGUGGAACUAGAAGAACUCAGUGUUUGGAGGUGUCACCCAACAGAAGUAUCCGUGAGUGAUGUCUGCAUCUUCAUAGCCCCCAGAAACACCUCCCUUCCUCAAUCAGUUAAAGAAACAGGCAUCGGAGGAAGCAAUGUCCAAGUCUGUAUGCAUUCUCUGGACAGGGUCCUUAGACAGAGUAAAACCUCCGUUUCAAACUCAGAGUUCUCUGCAUGCUCCUCCGCUGGCAGGGUGAUCCCUGCCUUACUCUACCCUAUUACUAAUAACUGUAGGAAGUACAGAUAACCAAGCAGAGUUUCAGAGCCAGCAAGGCUCAAAGAAAUGACAAGUGAAGACACUCGGCAGGCCAGAGCAGGGAAGCACAGCCAUGUGCAGCACAAAUGGUCAAAAGAAGCCUUACGUUUCUCUUUGAAGAGAAUAAACCGGCUGGAGAGGUGGCCCAAACUGCUCUCCCUGAGGAGAGGAGAGGUGGCCCAGUUAGGAGCACAAACCGCUCUCCCUGAGGAGAGGAGAGGUGGCCCACAGUUAGGAGCACAAACUGCUCUUCCUGAGGAGAGGGAAGGUGGCCCACAGUUAGGAGCACAAACCCCUCUCCCUGAGGACCUGAGUGAGAUGCCAGAACACAGUGGAGUGGCUCUCGAUCACCUAUAACUGCCACUCCAGGGGAACCAGUGCCCUCUUCUGGCCUCUGUGGGCAAUUGCACUUACAUGCACAAACCCACAAACAGAUGUGCAAAUGCACACACACAAAUAUAAAAAUAAACCUUAAAAAAGACAGAGAAUAAACCAAAGGGUCACACCAACAGGAGAUCA